rnacentral:rRNA from 1 species
UACGAAGGGGGCUAGCGUUGCUCGGAAUCACUGGGCGUAAAGGGUGCGUAGGCGGGUCUUUAAGUCAGGGGUGAAAUCCUGGAGCUCAACUCCAGAACUGCCUUUGAUACUGAGGAUCUUGAGUUCGGGAGAGGUGAGUGGAACUGCGAGUGUAGAGGUGAAAUUCGUAGAUAUUGGGAAGAACACCAGUGGCGAAGGCGGCUCACUGGCCCGUAACUGACGCUGAGGUGCGAAAGCGUGGGGAGCAACAGG